rnacentral:rRNA from 1 species
GAUUAACGCUAGCGGCAGGCCUAAUACAUGCAAGUCGAACGGCAGCACGGGUAGCAAUACCUGGUGGCGAGUGGCGCACGGGUGCGUAACGCGUAUGCAAUCUACCUAUAACUGGGGAAUAGCCUUCCGAAAGGAAGAUUAAAACCGCAUAAUAUCACGAAGCGGCAUCGUUUUGUGAUCAAAUCUCCGGAGGUUAUAGAUGAGCAUGCGUGACAUAGCUAGUUGGUGAGGUAACGGCUCACCAAGGCUACGAUGUCUAGGGGGUCUGAGAGGAUGAU